rnacentral:rRNA from 1 species
GUCCUUUUGAUAAUAAUAUAAGGUCUAACCUGCCCACUGAGAUUUUAAAGGGCCGCAGUAUUUUAACUGUGCAAAGGUAGCAUAAUAAUUAGUUUCUUAAUUAGAAGCUGGUAUGAAUGGUUGAACGAGAAAUUUACUGUCUCAAUUUAUAAGUUAAAAUUUUAUUUUUAAGUUAAAAAGCUUAAAUUAAUUUAAAAGACGAGAAGACCCUAUAGAGUUUUAUAGUUAUUUUUAUUUUAUAUUUAGAAUUUAUUAUUUUUAUUUAUAAUUAUUUUAUUGGGGUGAUAUAUAAAUUUAAUAAACUUUAUAUUUUUAUUAACAUAAAUUAAUGAUUAAUUGAUCCAUAUAAAUGAUUAAAAGAAAAAAUUACCUUAGGGAUAACAGCGUAAUUUUUUUUUAGAGUUCUAAUCGAAAAAAAAGAUUGCGACCUCGAUGUUGGAUUAAAAUUAAUUUUUGGUGUAGAAGCUAGAAUAUUAGGUCUGUUCGACCUUUAAAAUUUUACAUGAUCUGAGUUUAAACCGGUGUGAGCCAGGUUGGUUUCUAUCUUUAAAUAAAUUAAAUAUUUUAGUACGAAAGGACCAAAUAUUUUUAAAAAUUAAUUUUUUUUGAAUA